CUCUUCUUCCUCACACUCUAAAUUUUUCUCCACCUCUCACACUCCAAUAAUCUUUAUUUUUCUCCACCAUUUUAACAAGAUUAACGACCUCCAUCUAUCCAAGGGUUAGCAAUAUCAUCCUUUCUUCCGGCGUUCCUAAUUUAGCUCAUUUCUUUGGUAGUUUAACUCGUACUAUUUUUCUAGUGCUAGCAAGGUGUUUGAUGAAAUGCCUAAGUUAGGGAUUUUACUUUUUUUAUAAUCAAUUUGAGCUGAAAUUAUGGUAUAUUUUGUAGGUUUUAAUUAGUAUCAUCCCCGUCCUCACCGCCGUCGAUCGCUAGCGUCGUCCCCUAGCCGGCACCGUACAACCUCGAUGAGUCGACAAUGGAUGUACGGUGACCGGUGCCAUCCCGAGUUCAUUACUGGCAUGCAUUAUUUUCUCAACGUGGCUGAGGCAAACAGGCAGUCGAAUGGUUUCAUGUAUUGUCCAUGUAGUUCCUGUAAGAAUAUGAAGGAUUACUCUA